UACGUAGGGUGCAAGCGUUGUCCGGAAUUAUUGGGCGUAAAGGGCGCGUAGGCGGCCUGCUAAGUCGAACGUGAAAUCCCUGGGCUCAACCCCAGGAACUGCGUCCGAUACUGGUUGGCUUGAAUCCGGGAGAGGGAUGUGGAAUUCCAGGUGUAGCGGUGAAAUGCGUAGAUAUCUGGAGGAACACCGGUGGCGAAGGCGACAUCCUGGACCGGUAUUGACGCUGAGGCGCGAAAGCCAGGGGGAGCAAAACGGG
rnacentral:rRNA from 1 species